GACGAACGCUGGCGGCGUGCUUAACACAUGCAAGUCGAACGGAAGGGCCCUGCUUUUGUGGGGUGCUCGAGUGGCGAACGGGUGAGUAACACGUGAGUAACCUGCCCUUGACUUUGGGAUAACUUCAGGAAACUGGGGCUAAUACCGGAUAGGAGCUCCUGCUGCAUGGUGGGGGUUGGAAAGUUUCGGCGGUUGGGGAUGGACUCGCGGCUUAUCAGCUUGUUGGUGGGGUAGUGGCUUACCAAGGCUUUGACGGGUAGCCGGCCUGAGAGGGUGACCGGCCACAUUGGGACUGCGAUACGGCCCAGACUCCUACGGGAGGCAGCAGUGGGGAAUAUUGCACAAUGGGCGGAAGCCUGAUGCAGCAACGCCGCGUGCGGGAUGACGGCCUUCGGGUUGUAAACCGCUUUCGCCUGUGACGAAGCGUGAGUGACGGUAAUGGGUAAAGAAGCACCGGCUAACUACGUG
rnacentral:rRNA from 1 species